rnacentral:sRNA from 1 species
UGUGAUCACCCUUUUCGGGUAAACUGGACCGGCCGGCUGCAACAGCCGGCCGGUUUUUGAUUCGGAC